rnacentral:rRNA from 1 species
AUUGAACGCUGGCGGCAUGCCUUACACAUGCAAGUCGAACGGUAACAGGUCUUCGGAUGCUGACGAGUGGCGAACGGGUGAGUAAUACAUCGGAACGUGCCCGAUCGUGGGGGAUAACGGAGCGAAAGCUUUGCUAAUACCGCAUACGAUCUACGGAUGAAAGCAGGGGACCGCAAGGCCUUGCGCGGACGGAGCGGCCGAUGGCAGAUUGGGUAGUUGGUGGGAUAAAAGCUUACCAAGCCGACGAUCUGUAGCUGGUCUGAGAGGACGACCAGCCACACUGGGACUGAGACACGGCCCAGACUCCGACGGGAGGCAGCAGUGGGGAAUUUUGGACAAUGGGCGAAAGCCUGAUCCAGCCAUGCCGCGUGCAGGAUGAAGGCCUUCGGGUUGUAAACUGCUUUUGUACGGAACGAAAAGCCUCUUUCUAAUAAAGAGAGGUCAUGACGGUACCGUAAGAAUAAGCACCGGCUAACUACGUGCCAGCCGCCGCCGUAAAAC